CGGGGAGUGGCGCAGCCUGGUAGCGCAUCUGGUUUGGGACCAGAGGGUCGGAGGUUCAAAUCCUCUCUCCCCGACCA
rnacentral:tRNA from 1 species